UGGUUCCUUUAAUAAAAAGACAUGGUGGAAAUAGCCUGGGGGCUAGCCAAUAGUGACCAGCCCUUCUUGUGGGUUGUCCGGCCUGGCUCCAUCCACGGCCAUGAUUUGGUCGAACUACCAGAAGGGUUUGAAGAGAAGACAUGGGAGAGGGGCUAGAUCGUUAAGUGGGCCCCACAACAAGAAGUGCUGGCCCACCCAUCAGUGGGAGGUUAUUGGACACACAAUGGUUGGAAUUCUACGUUGGAGAGCAUAUGUGAAGGGGUUCCUAUGUUAUGUUCUCCUUAUUUAUGGGACCAAAGUUUGAAUGCUAGGUUUGUGAGCCAUGUUUGGAAGGUGGGAAUACAACUUGAGAAUGGGUUCAAUAGAAGUGAGAUAUAGUGGGCCAUAAGAAGAUUGAUGGUGGAGAUUGAAGGGAAGGAGAUAAGAGAGAGAGCACGUGAUCUAAAGGAAAAUGCAAUGCGUUGUAUAGAAAAGGGAGGUUCUUCGUAUGAGUCAUUAGAGAGUUUGGUUGAUCUUAUCAUGUCAUUGUAAUGCCGCUUUUCUUAUCAUGUUUCAUUUGUAUUUUCAUUCUAUGGCAAGCUACAACAAGAUGUAUGUGAUCAAAUAGGCCUUUGUUUCAGUGUAA